UUCAAUUUGCAUGUAGUUCAUUCUCCAAAUAUAACAUUCAGUAUUUGGAAAACACAAUAAGAAAUCUCAAUUGUUAUCAUUAAUUCAUGACAUACCCACCUCCUUCGUGAAAAUAAAACUCAUUUCACUUUUAUCAAGAUGUUUAUAAGAGCAUUUGUAUCCCAGUUUUUAAUACUUGUGGAUGCCAAUGAUGUCUUUAGCAUUAGGGAUAUAGUUUUGAAACAAUAAUAGCUUUUCAUCAUAAUUUUUCCAUUAAUGUGAAAUUUAUGGUGAGACAUUGUGUGUCCAACAUAUAUCUUAAAUAAAUAAGUACAGACAUAGAUACAUGGACGCACAUAUAUAUGACAGAAUUUUAGGUAUAGAUACAGAUAUACAUACUCUUAUCUCCUCCCCAAAGUAGUGAAAUGUUUACACUGUCUAAUAUAUUGGACAUAAUUAAAGUUUCAUCAUGUGAUAUACCAGUUUCUUCUUUCUUUCACACAUCUGGAAUUUUUGUAACUGUUUACAUUACUUAUACAACUUUUAGUAAAUUAUAAUUUCCCUAACUCGCCUGAAGAUUACAGUUACCUGGAGUACUCUUCCUUGGACCCUAACUCAAACCAAUGGAAUCAAAGUUAUUGAGAGUGAGUGGCUAGGACAACUGUCAUCAUCAAACAAACAGGUAAACUUGCUACUCUAAAAGGCAUGUCAUUCCACAGAACACCUUGAAUUAUACCCAUUGUGGAGUGGAACACACAUAAAUAGUUUUCAACUGAAAAUUAAAUGGGUUCCAAGUGAAUAUGCUAGGGCUGCCAUAACAAAGCACUAUAAUGUGGGAGGCUUGCACAACAGAAAUUUAUUGUCUCACAAUUCUAGAGACUAGAAGUCCAAAAUCAUGGUGCCAACAAGGUUUGAUCCUUCCGAGGGCUGUGAAGGAAGAGUGUUCCAGGCCUCUCUCCUUGAUGGAUAGUUGUCUUCUCCCUAACCCACUUUAAUCCUCCCUCUAUGCAGGUCUGUAUCCGAGUUUCCUCCUCUUAAAAGCACACAACCUAUUGGAUUGGGGCUCAGCCUAAUGACUUUUUUUAAAGCUGAUUACUUCUUUUAAAGCCCUAUCUCCAAAUAAGGUCCUAUUCCUAGGUACUGAGGGUCAGGACCCCAACAAAUACAUUUUAAGGAAGGGACACAAUUCAACUCAUAACAAUUCAAAGACAAAUAUUUAUUUUCCAGUAUUACUCAUCUAUAUGUAAUUUUACCAAUUGUUAAUUGAGAUAUAUUCACUGCUCAUUUAUUUAAAAGCUUUCUUCCCUCUACCAUUAUGAGAAAAUCAUAGAUGUGGAGAGGCUGGCUUUGCGAUCGAGGUGAAUGUGUCUAGACACUUUUGUGGACAGGAAGUACAAAAAGUUCUCAUAAUCUCUGAGAAAUUUCUCAUUUGUUUUUGUCAAAACUUCCAAGUUGGAAUAAGUCCUCAGGCUGUGAGGCAAUUCUUUCCCAUUUGCCACUCAGUCUGCAUGUCUCUUUUACGUAUGUGUGUACGUAUGUAUUUACUUAUUGGAAGACAGGAACCCUUAAGACAAGAGAAUGAAAACUGCUGGGUUAGCCCUGGCCAAAGUGAAAAGAUCAAAGACAAGGUAAAGUCUUCAGGCUUGGAAGCCUUUGUCAUGAUGAAUAAUUAAUGAGACCCCAAGAGCACAACCUGCUGCUCCUAACACCAGCCCUGACAGACUGUGCCAUUUGAAUCUCAGGGUGCAAAAGGAACCUCCCCUGAUAAGCAAGCUCCUUGAAGAUCUGGGUGUUAGAUUCUGAAGUUUUUCCCUUAUGUAACUACCUUAAAAGAAUCCUGAACCAAUGAAGGUCACAGCAAGCUAUCGGUUUCCUAAUUUGGUUGCACUUCUAUUACGGGUACUUUAAAAUUUUUACUCUUUUGCUCUUCAUUUUUCCAUGUUAUGAAUAAUUGAUACAAUCAUUCUUUUCCAUUUUUAAGAUGGAUAAUGUUCUCAGAUUAUUUGGGAGACCAAGAGAUAGAAUGUCUCCCCAUUUUAGCUGUUGAAUACAAGGUAUUUCUGAGCCCUCGGCAUCCUUGAUCCUUUGUCCCUCCCCCACGCUUCAUCGACAAAACCCUAAUUCUUACUUUAUCCCACAUCCCUGCUACUCUGCAGCUGCAACCGUAAAACUACAUUUUGUUGGAAAAAAAGACAGAAUCACAAUAACUGUUCCUAGUUUCAAUUCAUAAGCAUCUCCCUGAAGUGGACCAUUAGUGCUACCUGGAAUCCAACUAGAUUUCUCUAGUCAUUUCCUUCCUUUUCUCACAAAGGAGAGGAAUCACAGAACCUUUUUUCUUACCAAAGAGAAAAGGUUCUUGUACGUGUCUCCUUCUUAGCUGAUGAGUUUUCUGUUUUCUAGAAAAUAGGAAGACUUCUGAAGAAAGGUUAUACACUCUCCCCACACCCCAUCUACACACUCCCUGCUUGUACAUAUAAAUGUGUAUUUCUCUGCCUUGCAUUCUAGCAAAAUGUAAGAAAGGUCAUGUUCCAAGUCCAGAGCCUAUCUGUUCCUCGUGCGUGGGAUCCUAUAACCUCUCUUCUACACAAACUUUCUACUUUUACAACAGUCUGCCAUAUUUCCAUCACCAUCUUUUUAUUUAGUCCCUAUGGAAUCACUACUAGAGAUAUGAAAGUAUUCUGUAUUAUGAUGUUCCAUCUCAAAGCAAGCCUAAUACUUCCUUUUAUAAAACACCUUUCUUAUUAUUAUUUCUUUUUUUAAAGAGAGAGAGAGAGAGAGAGCGAGCAUGAGUGGCAGGGAGGGAUAGGGCAGAAAGAGAAGGAGAGAAAGAGUCUUAAGCAGGUUCCACACCGAGGGUGGAGCCCCACCCUGGGCUCGAUCUCACGACCCUGAGAUCAUGACCUGAGCUAAAAUCAAGAGUUGGACACUUAACCGUCUGAGCCACCCAGGUGCCCCAAGCUAAAUACUUCCUUCAUCCCACAUUGCAUUCUACAUACAAGGCUGUGCUUGCUCUAAUAUUAGAUAAAACUUCUACCUUCUGUCUCUAAUUCAUCUUUUACACAUCUCUAAUUCAUCUUAAAAACACACAAAUUUUCCCUGGAACAAAUUCCAAAUAUUUUAUCCCCAUUCCGUCAGGUCAGGGUCUGUUUAAGGUCACCAAUGACUUCACAUCCAGUAGGUCUGUCAUUACCUUGUUCUAAUGGCACCACAUACCACAAAUCAAUCACACCUUAUUUUCUGCAGUGUUUUCUGUAUUUAAUUUCCAGAAGUCAACUCUUCUGAGCCUUCUUUUCAGUUUUCUCCAGUUUUGUAGAUUGUGUCAUUUUAGGUUGUUUUGCUGAGGCUAUUAAAAAAAUUAUUCUGACACUUGUUAAAAUGGUAAGGAAUAUUUUAUGCACCACUAUUGCAAUAAAGGUAAAUGCAUGAGGGGGAAGAGACUGUGCUUGACUCUGAAUACAGUCAAGGCAGCUGGGGAUUUGCAGCCAAAGGGCAGAAUGAGGGGGUUCAGUGGGUAGAAAUUACUAAAAGGAGAGAUUAGGGUUAGAGAGAUUCUUGCAAAACUGAUUUAACAUGAUUCCUGCUGAAGGCUGGUCAAGGACUUAUACAUCAUAGGUGGGGGAUGAAGACCUUGAUCAGACAUCAAGGGUGAUAAGGUAUCAAGGAUGGAAAUAUCCCCACUAAAUUGACAAGCAAGAUUCUUGUCAAGACUAGGCUGGAAAAGCCAAAGACAUUAUGGAGGCCUGCCUAAGUUUGGUCAAGGACAGAAUCUUUCUCAAAUCCCACUUUUUACUAGUUCUGAAUGUAAAACGCCCCAGAACUUAGUCUUUGGGCCCCUUAUCUUCUUCAUAUUUAUUCCUAGGUUGAUUUCAUCCUAUACUGUGGCCUUCAAUAUAAUCUAUAUUCUUCCAAUUUUC
rnacentral:lncRNA from 1 species